rnacentral:piRNA from 1 species
UGUGAAUUCCUUUUCUGAGCAUGAACGUC